GCGUUUGCAAACAUGUCCCGCAUCGAAAAGAUGAGCAUUCUGGGCGUGCGGAGUUUUGGAAUAGAGGAUAAAGAUAAGCAAAUUAUCAGUUUCUUCACCCCACUCACGAUUUUGGUUGGCCCCAACGGGGCGGGGAAGACGACUAUCAUUGAAUGUCUAAAAUAUAUUUGUACUGGAGACUUCCCUCCUGGAACCAAAGGAAAUACGUUUGUUCAUGAUCCCAAGGUUGCUCAAGAAACAGAUGUGAGAGCCCAAAUCCGCCUGCAGUUUCGGGAUGUCAACGGAGAGCUUGUUGCUGUGCAGAGAUCCAUGGUGUGUUCUCAGAAGAGCAAGAAGACGGAGUUUAAAACCCUGGAAGGAGUUAUUACCAGAAUCAGGCAUGGUGAGAAGGUCAGUCUGAGCUCUAAGUGUGCAGAGAUUGAUCGAGAAAUGAUAAGUUCUCUGGGCGUUUCCAAGUCUGUGUUAAACAAUGUCAUUUUCUGUCAUCAAGAAGACUCUAAUUGGCCCUUAAGUGAAGGAAAGGCUCUCAAGCAAAAGUUCGAUGAGAUUUUUUCUGCAACAAGGUACAUUAAAGCCUUAGAAACGCUUCGUCAGGUUCGUCAGACACAAGGUCAGAAAGUGAAAGAAUGUCAAACUGAACUAAAAUACCUGAAGCAAAAUAAGGAAAAAGCCUGUGAAAUCCGUGAUCAGAUUACUACUAAGGAAGCCCAGCUGACAUCUUCAAAGGAAAUUGUCAAAUCCUAUGAGAAUGAACUGGAACCACUGAAGAACCGUCUGAAAGAAAUUGAAAACAAUCUCUCCAAAAUAAUGAGACUUGACAAUGAAAUUAAAGCCUUGGAGAGCCGAAAGAAGCAAAUGCAGAAGGAUAACAGUGAACUGGAACAGAAAAUGGAAAAGGUUUUUCAAGGGACUGAUGACCAGCUAAAUGACUUGUAUCACAAUCACCAGAGAACAGUUAGAGAAAAAGAAAGGAAAUUAGUAGAUUGUCAGCGUGAACUAGAGAAAUUAAAUAAAGAGUCUAGACUUCUCAAUCAAGAAAAAUCAGAACUCCUUGUUGAACAGGGUCGUCUUCAGCUACAGGCAGAUCGCCAUCAGGAACAGAUCCGAGCUAGAGACUCAUUAAUUCAGUCCUUGGCAGCACAGCUGGAAUUGGAUGGCUUUGAACGUGGACCCUUCAACGAAAGACAAAUUAAAAGUUUUCACAAACUUGUGAGAGAGAGACAAGAAAAGGAGACAGAGACUGCCAACCAGCUGAUGAAUGACUUUGCAGAAAAAGAGACUCUGAAACAGAAACAAAUAGAUGAGAUAAGAGAUAAAAAAACUGGAUUGGGAAGAAUAAUUGAGCUAAAAUCAGAAAUCCUAAAUAAGAAGCAGAGUGAACUGAAGAAUGUGAAGUUUGAAUUACAGCAGUUGGAAGGAUCUUCAGACAGGAUUCUUGAACUGGAACAGGAGCUCAAAAAAGCCGAACGUGAAUUAAGCAAGGCUGAGAAAAACAGUAAUGUUGAAACCCUAAAAACAGAAGUAAUAAGUCUUCAAAAUGAGAAAACAGACCUAGACAGGAACCUGCGUAAACUGGACCAGGAAAUGGAGCAGUUAAAUCAUCAUACGACAACACGUACCCAGAUGGAGAUGCUGAAUAAAGACAAAGUUGACAAAGAUGAACAAAUUAGAAAAAUAAAAUCUAGGCAUAGUGAUGAAUUAACUUCACUGUUGGGGUAUUUUCCCAACAAAAAACAGCUUGAGGACUGGCUUCAUAGUAAAUCAAAAGAAAUUAAUCAGACCAGAGACAGACUUGCCAAAUUGAACAAGGAGCUAGCUUCAGCUGAGCAAAAUAAAAAUCAUAUCAACAAUGAGCUAAAAAGAAAGGAAGAGCAACUGUCAAGUUAUGAAGACAAGCUUUUUGAUGUUUGUGGAAGCCAAGAUUUUGAGAGUGAUUUAGAUAGGCUUAAAGAGGACAUUGAAAAAUCCUCAAAACAGCGAGCUAUGCUUGCUGGGGCCACGGCUGUUUACUCCCAGUUCAUUACUCAGCUGACAGAUGAAAACCAGUCGUGUUGUCCUGUCUGUCAGAGAGUUUUUCAGACAGAGGCUGAAUUACAAGAAGUCAUCAGUGAUUUGCAAUCCAAACUACGGCUUGCUCCAGAUAAACUCAAGUCAACAGAAUCAGAUCUAAAGAAGAAAGAAAAGCGGCGAGAUGAAAUGCUGGGACUUGUGCCCAUGAGGCAAAGCAUAGUAGAUUUGAAGGAGAAAGAAAUACCAGAAUUAAGAAAUAAACUACAGAAUGUCAAUAGAGAUAUACAACGCCUAAAGAAUGACAUAGAAGAACAGGAAACUCUCUUGGGCACAAUAAUGCCUGAAGAAGAAAGUGCUAAAGUAUGUCUGACAGAUGUUACAAUUAUGGAGAGGCUCCAGAUGGAACUUAAAGAUGUUGAAAGAAAAAUCGCACAGCAAGCAGCUAAGCUACAAGGAAUAGACUUAGAUCGAACUGUUCAGCAGGUGAACCAGGAAAAACAAGAGAAACAGCACAAAUUAGAUACAGUGACCAGUAAGAUUGAAUUGAAUCGGAAGCUCAUUCAGGACCAGCAAGAACAGAUACAACACCUAAAAAGCAUAACAAAUGAGCUUAAAUCAGAGAAACUUCAGAUAUCCACUAAUUUGCAGCGUCGACAGCAGCUGGAAGAGCAGACUGUGGAGUUGUCCACUGAAGUUCAGUCUUUGUUCAGAGAGAUAAAGGAUGCUAAGGAGCAGGUAAACCCUUUGGAAACAACAUUGGAGAAAUUCCAGCAGGAAAAAGAAGAAUUAGUUAGCAAAAAACACGCAAGCAACAAAGUAGCACAGGAUAAACUGAAUGACAUCAAAGAGAAGGUUAAGAAUAUUCAUGGUUAUAUGAAAGACAUUGAGAAUUACAUUCAGGACGGGAAAGAUGACUAUAAGAAGCAAAAAGAAACUGAACUUAAUAAAGUUAUAGAUCAACUAAGUGAAUGUGAGAAACACAAAGAAAAGAUAAAUAAAGACAUGGGAAUCAUGAGACAAGACAUUGACACACAGAAGAUACAGGAACGUUGGCUACAGGACAAUCUUACUUUAAGAAAAAGAAACGAGGAACUAAAAGAAGUUGAAGAAGAAAGAAAGCAACAUCUGAAGGAAAUGGGACAAAUGCAGGUUUUACAAAUGAAGAAUGAGCACCAGAAGUUGGAGGAGAAAAUAGAAAACAUAAAAAGAAAUCACAGUCUGGCAAUAGGGCGGCAGAAGGGUUAUGAGGAAGAAAUCAUUCACUUUAAGAAAGAACUUCGAGAACCUCAAUUUCGAGAUGCAGAGGAAAAGCACAGAGAGAUGAUGAUUGUUAUGAGAACUACGGAGCUUGUGAACAAGGAUCUGGACAUUUAUUAUAAGACUCUGGACCAAGCAAUAAUGAAAUUUCACAGUAUGAAAAUGGAGGAGAUCAAUAAGAUUAUUCGUGAUCUUUGGCGAAGCACCUACCGCGGACAAGAUAUUGAAUAUAUAGAAAUUCGCUCUGAUGCUGAUGAAAACGUCUCAGCUUCGGAUAAAAGGCGGAAUUACAAUUACCGUGUGGUGAUGCUGAAGGGGGACACAGCCUUGGACAUGCGUGGACGAUGCAGUGCUGGGCAGAAGGCAGGUCUUAGCCUCACUCAUCAUUCGCCUGGCCCUGGCUGAAACCUUCUGCCUUAACUGCGGCAUUCUUGCUUUGGAUGAGCCCACGACAAAUCUGGACCGAGAGAACAUCGAGUCGCUCGCACAUGCACUGGUGGAGAUAAUAAAAAGUCGUUCACAGCAGCGAAACUUCCAGCUUCUGGUUAUCACUCAUGAUGAAGACUUUGUGGAGCUUCUAGGACGUUCUGAAUAUGUGGAGAAAUUCUACAGGAUCAAGAAGAACAUUGAUCAGUGCUCAGAGAUCGUCAAGUGCAGCGUGAACUCCCUGGGGUCUUACGUUCAUUAAAAUCCCUCGGCACGGAAACUGCCAAAGAGCUGGGUCAGCAAUAAAACACAGGGCGUAAAAGGUG